ACUUAAAUAGCUUAAUUUAGAGCGUAACAUUGAAGAUGUUAAGGUAAUGUUAAUUAUUUUUAAGUA
rnacentral:tRNA from 1 species